ACGGGUGAGUAACACGUGGGAACCUACCUUCUGGUACGGAACAACCAAGGGAAACUUUGGCUAAUACCGUAUACGACCUCCGGGUGAAAGAUUUAUCGCCGGAAGAGGGGCCCGCGUCCGAUUAGGUAGUUGGUGAGGUAACGGCUCACCAAGCCGACGAUCGGUAGCUGGUCUGAGAGGAUGACCAGCCACACUGGGACUGAGACACGGCCCAGACUCCUACGGGAGGCAGCAGUGGGGAAUAUUGGACAAUGGGCGCAAGCCUGAUCCAGCCAUGCCGCGUGAGUGAUGAAGGCCUUCGGGUUGUAAAGCUCUUUCACCCACGACGAUGAUGACGGUAGUGGGAGAAGAAGCCCCGGCUAACUUCGUGCCAGCAGCCGCGGUAAUACGAAGGGGGCAAGCGUUGUUCGGAAUGACUGGGCGUAAAGGGCGCGUAGGCGGUUCGUUGCGUCAGAUGUGAAAGCCCCGGGCUCAACCUGGGAACUGCAUUUGAUACGGGCGAGCUUGAAUCCAAGAGAGGGUGGUGGAAUUCCCAGUGUAGAGGUGAAAUUCGUAGA
rnacentral:rRNA from 8 species